UACGUAGGGGGCAAGCGUUGUCCGGAAUCAUUGGGCGUAAAGAGCGCGUAGGCGGCCCUGUAAGUCCGCUGUGAAAGUCAAGGGCUCAACCCUUGGAUGCCGGUGGAUACUGCAGGGCUAGAGUCCGGAAGAGGCGAGUGGAAUUCCGUGGUGUAGCGGUGAAAUGCGCAGAUAUCAGGAAGAACACCGGUGGCGAAGGCGGCGAGCUGGCCUUGAACUGACGCUGAGGCGCGACAGCGUGGGGAGCAAACAGG
rnacentral:rRNA from 1 species